rnacentral:rRNA from 1 species
GACGAACGCUGGCGGCGUGCCUAACACAUGCAAGUCGAACGAAGUGGCGCACGGGUGAGUAACGCGUAAUCAACCUGCCCUUCAGAGGGGGAAAACAGUUGGAAACGACUGAUAAUACCACAUACUGCAGGAGGGGAUUUCGUCUGAUUAGCUAGUUGUCGGGGUAACGGCCCACCAAGGCGAUGAUCAGUAGCCGGGCUGAGAGGAUGAACGGCCACAUUGGGACUGAGACACGGCCCAGACUCCUACGGGAGGCAGCAGUGGGGAAUCUUCCGCAAUGGACGAAAGUCUGACGGAGCAACGCCGCGUGAGUGAUGACGGCCUUCGGGUUGUAAAGCUCUGUUAAUCGGGACGCGGUACCGAAAUAGAAAGCCACGGCUAACUACGUGCCAGCAGCCGCGGUAAUAC